ACUCUCUAUCUCUGACGACCUCUCAUCCUCUCUAUCUUUGUCGUCGACUCCUUCCAACGCCACUCUCAAAAUCAAUUUGUCCAGGUCGAUCCGUCGUCGUAAACUCCUUCCAACGCGAAACCCCUAGGUUUCCAUCGUCGACUCUCUAUCUCUAGCGUCCUCUCGUCCUCUCUAUCUCUGUCAAUGUCGACUCUCUAUCUCUGAUGAUCUUCUAUCCCCAGGUCUUCUCUUUCAAGCCACCAUCGAUUUGUCAAGUUCGGCAACUUGUGAACCCCAUCUAGUUUGAGAUUCUCAAAACCCCGUUCCACGCUUAUUAUUUUACAUUUAUUUCCCCCAACUUUUGAAAUGGCAUUCUGGUAUGAUUUGUUUUGAGAUUCUCAAAACCCACUACGAUUUGAGUAUUUUACUAGCUUCAUAGAUUGUUCCUUCCCCUGCCCUUUUGUUUUCUCCGAUUGAUUGGCUCGUUCGUUAUCCAUUUUUUAGUAUGGGAUUGGAAUUUCUCUGUCUGUGAAAUCUGACCUUAAACUUGAUGACCUUAAACUUGGAACUCGUUUGAUGAUCUUAUUUUGUUUUCUUGCUUUCAUCUUGUAUAAUCUAUUAGAGUAUUGAUAUAUUAUCCAAUUUUCCUUUAAUUAUUAAGCUUUUGGGUGGUGAUUUUAACGAAGCAGUUAUGCAUUUUGGCAAGAGUAUCAAGGAAAUUAUUAAUGAGGAGUUCAGCGAUGGAAUUAUGUCAGCCAUAGACUUUUACUGCUCAGUUGACAAGGUCAAGGGUGUUGAUGGGAAGGAUCGUGUUGUGAUAACGUUUGAUGAAGAUAGAGCACAUGGCUUCCAGACGACCGUCGCAGGAAAGUUGAACGAGAUUCUAAAACCUGCAACACAGUUGCUGUAGGAAUCUGCUCUUUUCCCCUUUGCAGUAUAAUUGCUUUACAUCUUUCAUCUAAAAAUCUUGUAUGAUUAAAUGUGAAGCUGCUUAUUUUUGUGUAUGAAAGCAUUGUAUCCACAUUCUUUUGGCUUCCAAGUAUUUGUAUAUGAUCGUGUUGUAGCCAAGUUUGUCCUAGAUAAUUUUCAGGGUUGCUUGUGCUUAGUGAAUUACAUGUCUUCUAGUAUUUUUAUUUACGUUGUCAACUCUAAAUUAAUUGUCUAUCAGGUCAUGGACAUGAAAUUUUCUCUUGUUACCAAGUCAAUGAAGUGUCUUUUAAUUGUUUAAAAACAUUGUUGUCUACUUCGCUAGUUUUUGCCUACAAAUUGUGGUAGCAUUGUUGAAGUUUUUAAAGGAAAAAAGAAUCAAAUUUUCAUAUUCUUCAGUGAAAAUAAUUUGAAAUUUGUCAGAUGGGUUUUUAACAUUGUUUGUGUUCUGUGGUGGUGGUUGGAUGUUUGGACGAGAAGAAUGGUCUACCAGCAACAAUAUCUACAUGGCGCUAAAGGAAGAGAAUAAGGAAAAAAUUGAUGAAAUGCAACAUGAUAUUAUUAAGAUUGGAAACUUACAUAAGAAGGUUUAUUAGUUUCUUAGUUAAUGUGGAGAACUAGUUUUCAAAACAAAAUGAUGUUUAGACUUCAGAAUGGUCCAACAACUCCUUUGUAAAUGUGGAGACCCAGUCUACAAAACAAGAUGUCGUCCAUAAGUUGCAAAGAUUUUUUAGGAAGUCAUGCUUUCAAUUUGGAUAAUUCUGUAGUGGAUGGUGGAGAGAACAUAAUGAAGGAGCAAUUGAAAGACUAUUUGGAAAACACUGGGGGGUGGGGAGAGAGAGAUAUUUACAAGUUUAAGUUUGUAUUUUAUAGUUUAAAAGUAAGUUCUCACUCUUGUUUAGAUCAGAAUUUUAAUUUUGCUAUGUAAUGCUUAUGAGUUUUGGUAAUUUGUUGAUUACCUUGGUUUUAGAGUUAAAUUAUCAUCUCCAAUUCCUCUUUUGUAACUUAUUAUUAUGGAUUUGUAAAAGCAAUUAAGAAUUUAUUUUGUGCA